UGGGGAAUAUUGGGCAAUGGGGGAAACCCUGACCCAGCGACGCCGCGUGAGGGAAGAAGGCCUUAGGGUCGUAAACCUCUGUUGUGUGGGAAGAAGAGCGUGACGGUACCACACGAGGAAGUCCCGGCUAACUACGUGCCAGCAGCCGCGGUAAUACGUAGGGGACGAGCGUUGUCCGGAUUUACUGGGCGUAAAGGGCGCGUAGGCGGUCAUUUAAGUCAGCUGUGAAAUGGUUUGGCUUAACCGGAUCAUGCGGUUGAAACUGGAUGACUGGAGUGCUGGAGAGGCAAGUGGAAUUCCCAGUGUAGCGGUGAAAUGCGUAGAUAUUGGGAAGAACACCGGUGGCGAAGGCGACUUGCUGGCCAGCAACUGACGCUGAGGCGCGAAAGCCAGGGGAGCAAACG
rnacentral:rRNA from 2 species